rnacentral:rRNA from 1 species
UGGGGAAUUUUGGACAAUGGGCGCAAGCCUGAUCCAGCCAUUCCGCGUGCAGGACGAAGGCCUUCGGGUUGUAAACUGCUUUUGUACGGAACGAAAAGGCUCUGGCUAAUACCUGGGGCUCAUGACGGUACCGUAAGAAUAAGCACCGGCUAACUACGUGCCAGCAGCCGCGGUAAUACGUAGGGUGCAAGCGUUAAUCGGAAUUACUGGGCGUAAAGCGUGCGCAGGCGGUUAUGUAAGACAGAGGUGAAAUCCCCGGGCUCAACCUGGGAACUGCCUUUGUGACUGCAAGGCUGGAGUGCGGCGGAGGGGGAUGGAAUUCCGCGUGUAGCAGUGAAAUGCGUAGAUAUGCGGAGGAACACCGAUGGCGAAGGCAAUCCCCUGGGCCUGCACUGACGCUCAUGCACGAAAGCGUGGGGAGCAAAC